UACAGAGGUCCCAAGCGUUACUGAGAAUCACUGGGUUUAAAGGGUGCGUAGGCGGUCCGUUAAGUCAGUUGUGAAAUCCCCGGGCUCAACCCGGGAACUGCUUCUGAUACUGGCGGACUUGAGGCCAGUAGGGGUCACUAGAACUGACGGUGGAGCGGUGAAAUGCGUAGAUAUCGUCAGGAAUGCCGGUGGUGAAGACGGGUGACUGGGCUGGUUCUGACACUGAGGCACGAAAGCGUGGGGAGCGAACGGG
rnacentral:rRNA from 1 species